rnacentral:rRNA from 1 species
CCUACGGGUGGCAGCAGUGGGGGAUAUUGGACAAUGGGGGAAACCCUGAUCCAGCGACGCCGCGUGAGUGAAGAAGUAUUUCGGGUUGUAAACUUCUUUUGUCAGGGACGAAGCAAGUGACGGUACCUGACGAAUAAGCCACGGCAAACUACGUGCCAGCAGCCGCGGUAAUACGGAGGAUGCGAGCGUUAUCCGGAUUUAUUGGGUUUAAAGGGUGCGCAGGCGGAAGAUCAAGUCAGCGGGAAAAUUGAGAGGCCCAACCUCUUCGAGCCGUUGAAACUGGUUUUCUUGAGUGAGCGAGAAGUAUGCGGAAUGCGUGGUGUAGCGGUGAAAUGCAUAGAUAUCACGCAGAACUCCGAUUGCGAAGGCAGCAUACCGGCGCUCAACUGACGCUCAUGCACGAAAGUGUGGGUAUCGAACAGGAUUAGAUACCCCUGUAGUC